rnacentral:lncRNA from 1 species
UAGCCAGGAGAGGAUUCAUAUUUAUUCCGCCUUUGACUGAGAUAGUUUUUAGUGCAUGAUAUGGUAUGCCACGCUUCCCGCAGCUGGUCCGGCUUAACACGUUAUCAUCGCAGGCUCUCUGUCUUCCUGAACCUUUGCUACAGGUUGUCGGUGUCUCCACUCUCCUGGCGUUACCGCAUAUCCGUGUUCUGCUGAAAGACCCACCAACCCUGUCUUCCUCGUUAAAAAUCCAAAAGAAGCGCUUCAGAGAAGAGCUAGAGAACAGGAAAAGAAGUGUAGGUGCCGUGCGGUGGCGUAGCCACAGCCCCGGGCGCCCGUCUCGGCGAGGAAGCGGCUGGAGAUGGCUUGGUCCGGUCAGCAGUACUUGCUUUCUUGAAGCCCGGAAAACUCAGACGGUGUAAAACAGCAGACGAGAGGUCACACGCAACAGCUGUGGGCGAUACCCUCGGCUGGCAAAAUCUGAUGCAACUCCACUAAUGUCAGUGAGCUCCGCGGUCCUAAACCAGCCGAGGAGGUGGUCUGGUGUUUCUACAGCGUUGUGUAAUGCCAGGGCGCUUGCCCUGGAGCGUGUUAGAAAGCACUCAUCUGCAGAAAGCGUUACAGGGAAGAAACGCCGACGGCGCAGCUGUGACAGCCUGCCUCUGCCGCCCGGGCGCCAGAGUUUCACGGUCUCACUCUUACGUUGGGAGGAAACACUGUCCAGAAAGCGCUAGGCAGAGCAACGCGCUCGCAGAACUGAGCAGCGAGAUGGGCUUUAGAGGGACUCGAGAGUCAGGAGUUGUCUGCGCAGAGCCGACCGACGGGCAGCCGGCAGAGACGCUGAGCGCAACCACAUCCCCUCCCAAGACAGGAAGAGCAGGC